rnacentral:tRNA from 2 species
GGGCGAUUAGCUCAGUCGGAUAGAGCGUUAGCCUCCGGAGCUAAAGGCCGCGCGUUCGAAUCGCGCAUCGCCCACCA